UCGAUCGCGUUCCCGUUUUCGAGCUUCAAUCCAGGUUUGGCCUGCAGAUCGGAGAAGUUAACCGCCAGAUCUUCGAAGAGCUUCAGCUGCUUCGACGCGUCGAGCUUGAGCUUCCUAGCGUAAGCAGCGUAGGCGUUCACAAGCGUGAGGUGAUCGGUGGCUUGCUUGUGGAUCAGAUCUAACCUCGUUUUCAACGGAUCCGAUUGAAACGUCCUCGGCAAUGUGAGGUUGGUGACGAGAGGAGUUGAGGACGACGGAGAAGGUGGCGAGGAAGAGAAAAGAGAACAAGGCGGAGAUGAAGAUCCUGUACGAGAAGAAACUGCGGAGUCCUGAUCCGACGCCGUUCCGGCCUCCACGGAAGGCCACCGCCAUUUAGCUUCACCUUUUACAAGUCAGUUUAAAAAAAAAAUAAUUCAGAUGGGGAUGAGGUUCUUGCUUUCCCACGAUAGAGUGUGAAUUAGCCUCUGGAGAGUGAUGUGAUGGAUAGAGAUCUCAAGACAUUUUUGUGAAGAAGACACGUUAAUGUCAUUAAUCAUUGGUUUAAUAAACAAUUACUAAUUUAUAGUGUAGAUAUAAACUCUCAAUAUUAUUAAAACCCCAGUCUCACCCUUAUACUUUAGGACAUUAACAUUUUAUUACCAAAGUAUUUGAAACCAGCAGCUUAAAUACUUAAAAGUAUUGUUUGCGUAAAAUUAUUAUCAACUAACACUUAACUGCACAAAAUUUUUAAAAAAAUUAAACAAACAUAAAGUUUCUGUCCAUUUUGUAACAAUUGAUUAUUUCAUUUUUAAUUUUGCCACUCAAUAAUUAAUUGAAGAAUGAAUAUACUCGCAUAAUAUUUGGUCUGAUUAAUGUGAUUUAAAACAACAGGAACUGGUUCAGCGCAGCGGAUUCGAUAGGACAACAUCGGCGUUCGCAUCAUCUCCACUAGACAGUCCCACCGCCGAUCACCAGGUUUACUUCCAUUCCUUAAAAGUAACUCGAAUAAGCAAUCAAUUAAAACUCUUUCAGAAGAUUUUGCGUCUUCUACAAGAGGAGAUAGCUGGUGCACCUGUUUAGAGUCGUCUAUAUAAGGUACCAUUGUUCUCUGCAGUGUUUUAAAAUGUUAACAUGUUUAAACCUUUAGAGUGCUUAUAUCCAAUCUAUGUUUCUGACAUGUUGAACUUGGUGAGGAGGCAUUGUUUCCCCGUGUACUGGAAUGGAGAUAACUGGUGUGUGCUUAGAGGCCAGAAACAUUAAACAGUUGGAGAUUGCAUAUUGUAACAAGGUAAUGUCUUUCACUAGAGUAUGUGUCGACUAAUAUAUCCAAAUUUUCAUUUUUAUGCCCACACUAUUUUGAAAAUCACUGCUAUACAGCUUAUCAACUAUUUAUUUUUGUAUUCUUUCAUUUUUUUUUUAAACUUCUACGAAUAUCGAGGAAGCAAAAACUAAAGCUGCCACAACUAAGGAGCGAGAGCACUCUGUGAAUGAACUCCACAACGAGCUUAUUCAAAAUUUGCUACAUAGUCUUACAGAAUCAACAAUCACUUCAGAUUUCCAGACUCAACAGUUGUGAUUCGCUACACCUAACUUACCCAGAUCGUCAAGAUCACAGAGUCUGUGCAUUCACUUUGUGCAUCAGAAGUUCUGAUUCAGAACAUCUUAUGGAGCUUACUUAGUUCUGCUUGCAGGUCGACUAUUCCUUAAUACAACAUCUGACACUCAUUUCUACUUUAACAAUGAAAGCGGCUCUGGCUAGAGCUUCUUCCAAGAGUAAGAAUCUUGAACAACAGGAUGUUUGUAUCACUUCCCUCCUACACACUUUCUCAAGAAUCUUACACGUUCUCAACUGCAGGUUGCGUGGGAGUGACGUCAACUGAUCAUCCAGUUCUGAUAAUUGUGGAGGUGCAUAAAAAUAGAGUAUCUACGUGUAUCUUCUGCAAUGGCUCUGACUCCAUGGGUCCGAGAACACCUCCAGAAGCAUAACCGACCGGCGGACGAACGAAGUGAUACGGACACAUCACCUGGAGUACCUAAUGUAUUGAGCGGAAACACUGCUGGAGAAGCUCUGUUUCCUGUGCCAAAGGGUCCCAUCAAAGAAGGCACACAAGACUUUAUAACACAACUCUUGAAUAAGAUUAUCUUUACUUUGUAUUUGGGCACCCUGAAAUCAUCUCCUCUGUCUUGAAAUUAUCCUAACAAUAAAGAAAAUUCCUACGAUUAUCACUUAUCGUCUUUAGUUCCGUAACCCAACUUCUGCUCACAAGUUUUAGACACGACAAGAAUCACACUCUUCCAUGCUCAAAUUGGUUGUAUAAGUGCCCAAACAGGUUUCGAUUCCAUACUAUGGGGCUGUUGAGCCAAAGAGUGGAAGCUUACAAAUUUCAUUGGGAGAUGAAACUUGGGGAAAAAACAGGUUCUCAGAUUCUCACAAUUUUGAUGUGCUAUACUAACCGUAACAAACAUGAUGACCAAUAUCGAAAUUACAAUCAAACGAAUAUGAAAUAACAUUAAUUAAACAUAUUGAUUAAAAUGUAAAGAUAUGCUGGGACAAUUAAAUUGUAUAUUUGUGAUAAAAAUUCCAGUUACAUAAAUUGUUACAAAUCUAAAUAAAAACUAAAAUAAUAAAUAUAAAAUGACGUGUAUCAAAUAUUUAUAUAAUUUAUAUAACAUUUAAUUUGAAAUUCUAUUAAACUUCAAAUAUUUUCAUUUUUUUUUUCUCUUCAAUCUAAAAACGGAAAAAGCUAUACUAAUACAUAAAUAUACUGAACCAAAACCUUUUAAUUUAUAAUGAAAAUGGUAAUUCCAAAAAAAAAACAAUAUUAAGACUGUAAAAACACAAUUAAUAAAAUAAAUAUUAAUUGAAAGCAAAGUUAAGUAAAAUAAAGCAGAACAAGAAUUUAGAAUUUUAAUUACUAUUAAAAAUAUAAAUCAACAACUAAAAAAUUAGUCAUUAGCCGUUAAAAUACCUAUAAAAAUAAUAAUUAUAAUAU